GAUGAACGCUGGCGGCGUGCCUAAUACAUGCAAGUCGAGCGAACAGACGAGGAGCUUGCUCCUUUGACGUUAGCGGCGGACGGGUGAGUAACACGUAGGUAACCUACCUAUAAGACUGGGAUAACUUCGGGAAACCGGAGCUAAUACCGGAUAAUAUUUCGAACCGCAUGGUUCGAUAGUGAAAGAUGGCUUUGCUAUCACUUAUAGAUGGACCUGCGCCGUAUUAGCUAGUUGGUAAGGUAACGGCUUACCAAGGCAACGAUACGUAGCCGACCUGAGAGGGGGAUCGGCCACACUGGAACUGAGACACGGUCCAGACUCCUACGGGAGGCAGCAGUAGGGAAUCUUCCGCAAAGGGCGAAAGCCUGACGGAGCAACGCCGCGUGAGUGAUGAAGGUCUUCGGAUCGUAAAACUCUGUUAUUAGGGAAGAACAAACGUGUAAGUAACUGUGCACGUCUUGACGGUACCUAAUCAGAAAGCCACGGCUAACUACGUG
rnacentral:rRNA from 1 species